UGGAAUCACAUCACUCAUGUCAUAUAUGACGAAUAUAUGUCUGGAACUCUGAGGUCCAA
rnacentral:snoRNA from 1 species